UACGGAGGGUGCGAGCGUUGUCCGGAAUCACUGGGCGUAAAGGGCGCGUAGGCGGCGCGGGGAGCCAACGGUGAAAGCUCGGCGCUCAACGCCGAGUCGGCCGUCGAUACUCCCGUGCUCGAGCACUGUAGAGGCAGGUGGAAUUCCGGGUGUAGCGGUGGAAUGCGUAGAGAUCCGGAAGAACACCGGUGGCGAAGGCGGCCUGCUGGGCAGUAGCUGACGCUGAGGCGCGACAGCGUGGGGAGCAAACAGG
rnacentral:rRNA from 1 species